UACGUAGGGACCAAGCGUUGUUCGGAUUUACUGGGCGUAAAGGGCGCGUAGGCGGCAAUUCAAGUCACUUGUGAAAUCUCCGAGCUUAACUCGGAACGGUCAAGUGAUACUGCUUUGCUUAGAGUGCAGAAGGGGCAACCGGAAUUCUUGGUGUAGCGGUGAAAUGCGUAGAUAUCAAGAGGAACACCGGAGGUGAAGACGGGUUGCUGGGCUGACACGUGACCGCUGGAGGCGCGAAAGCUAGGGUAGCAAACGGG
rnacentral:rRNA from 1 species